rnacentral:rRNA from 1 species
GAUCCUGCCGGCGGGCACCGCUAUUGGAGUUCGCUUAAGCCAUGCGAGUCGAGAGGGGUAAGCCCUCGGCGCACUGCUCAGUAGCACGCGGACAAUCUGCCCUCGAGACGGGGAUAAUCCCGGGAAACUGGGAAUAAUACCCGAUAGGUCUGGGGUGAUGGAAGGCUCCCUGGCCAAAAUCUUCCGGGGCUCGAGGAUGGGUCUGCGGCCUAUCAGGUCGUAGGGGGCUUUACGGACCCCCUAGCCGAAGACGGGUACGGGCUUUGGGAGAAGUCGCCCGGAGAUGGAUUCUGAGACACGAAUCCAGGUCCUACGGGACGCAGCAGGCGCGAAACCUCCACAAUGUGGGCAACCACGAUGGGGGAACUCCAAGUGCUUACACUUUUGUGUAAGCUGUUCUCGAGCCUAAAAAGCUCGAGAAGUAAGGGCCGGGUAA